rnacentral:rRNA from 1 species
AUUGAACGCUGGCGGCAGGCCUAACACAUGCCAGUCGAGCGGAUGAAGGGAGCUUGCUCCUGGAUUCAGCGGCGGACGGGUGAGUAAUGCCUAGGAAUCUGCCUGGUAGUGGGGGAUAACGUCCGGAAACGGGCGCUAAUACCGCAUACGUCCUGAGGGAGAAAGUGGGGGAUCUUCGAACCUCACGCUAUCAGAUGAGCCUAGGUCGGAUUAGCUAGUUGGUGGGGUAAAGGCCUACCAAGGCGACGAUCCGUAACUGGUCUGAGAGGAUGAUCAGUCACACUGGAACUGAGACACGGUCCAGACUCCUACGGGAGGCAGCAGUGGGGAAUAUUGGACAAUGGGCGAAAGCCUGAUCCAGCCAUGCCGCGUGUGUGAAGAAGGUCUUCGGAUUGUAAAGCACUUUAAGUUGGGAGGAAGGGCAGUAAGUUAAUACCUUGCUGUUUUGACGUUACCAACAGAAUAAGCACCGGCUAACUUCGU